rnacentral:piRNA from 1 species
AGAGUGUUGACAACCAUUAUGUCAAG